GUGGGGAAUUUUGGACAAUGGGGGAAACCCUGAUCCAGCGACGCCGCGUGAAGGAUGAAGGCCUUCGGGUUGUAAACUUCUUUUGGAGGGGACGAAUAAAUUGACGGUACCCUCAGAAAAAGCCACGGCUAACUACGUGCCAGCAGCCGCGGUAAUACGUAGGUGGCGAGCGUUACUCGGAAUUACUAGGCGUAAAGCGUAUGUAGGCGGUUGUAUAAGGCUAUGGUGAAAUUUCCUGGCUCAACUGGGAAGGGACAUAGAUACUGUAUGGCUUGAGUGUUGGAGGGGGAGACGGAAUUCCUGGUGUAGCGGUGAAAUGCGUAGAUAUCAGGAGGAACACCGAUGGCGAAAGCAGUCUCCUGGCCAAAUACUGACGCUGAGGUACGAAAGCUAGGGUAGCAAACAGGAUUAGAAACCCUUGUAGUCC
rnacentral:rRNA from 1 species